rnacentral:rRNA from 1 species
GACGAACGCUGGCGGCGUGCUUAACACAUGCAAGUCGAACGGUGAAGCGCCUUCCUUUUUGGUGGGUGUGGAUGAGUGGCGAACGGGUGAGUAACACGUGAGUAACCUGCCCCCUUCUUCUGGAUAACCGCAUGAAAGUGUGGCUAAUACGGGAUAUUCUGGGUCUGUCGCAUGAUGGGUCUGGGAAAGAUAUUGUUUCGGUGGGGGAUGGGCUCGCGGCCUAUCAGCUUGUUGGUGGGGUGAUGGCCUACCAAGGCGGUGACGGGUAGCCGGCCUGAGAGGGUGGACGGUCACACUGGGACUGAGACACGGCCCAGACUCCUACGGGAGGCAGCAGUGGGGAAUAUUGCACAAUGGGCGCAAGCCUGAUGCAGCGACGCCGCGUGAGGGAUGGAGGCCUUCGGGUUGUGAACCUCUUUCGCCAGUGAAGCAGGCCUGCCUCGUUUGUGGGUGGGUUGACGGUAGCUGGAUAAGAAGCGCCGGCUAAAUACGUG